rnacentral:rRNA from 1 species
UACGGAGGGUGCGAGCGUUGUUCGGAAUUACUGGGCGUAAAGCGCACGUAGGCGGCUUUGUAAGUUAGAGGUGAAAGCCCGGGGCUCAACUCCGGAAUUGCCUUUAAGACUGCAUCGCUAGAAUUGUGGAGAGGUGAGUGGAAUUCCGAGUGUAGAGGUGAAAUUCGUAGAUAUUCGGAAGAACACCAGUGGCGAAGGCGACUCACUGGACACAUAUUGACGCUGAGGUGCGAAAGCGUGGGGAGCAAACAGG